rnacentral:rRNA from 1 species
AAAGAGUGCGUAACAGCUCACUAGUCGAGUGACCCUGCGCCGAAAAUGUACCGGGGCUAAGCCUGAUACCGAAACUGCGGAUUGUAGGAAACUAUAGUGGUAGGGGAGCGUUGUAUACGAGCAGAAGCCGUACCGUGAGGAGCGGUGGAUUGUAUAGAAGUGAGAAUGCCGGUGUGAGUAGCGAGAUGUAGGUGAGAAUCCUACACACCGAAAGCCCAAGGAUUCCAGGGGAAGGUUCGUCCGCCCUGGGUAAGUCGGGACCUAACGCGAGGCCGAAAGGCGUAGUGGAUGGAAAGCAGGCGAAAGAUUCCUGCACCCGUAUAUGGAGCGAAGGAGUGACGGAGACGGAUAGUGUGACCCUCUUAAUGGAUUGAGGGCGAAGCGAAGCGGCUGGUUACCAGGCAAAUCCGGUAACCUCAAGGCUAGGGCGUGACAGGCAAGCGAAAUCCAAGGAAAGUAGCGAAGCACAUGAUGACGGCUUCCAGGAAAAGCUUCUGGCAAUGCAUAUGCGGCCCGUACCAAAACCGACACAGGUGGGCAGGGAGAGAAUCCCGAGGUGAGCGAGAGAACUGUUGCCAAGGAACUCGGCAAAAUGACUCCGUAAGUUAGCGAGAAGGAGUGCUUAAGCAAUUAAGCCGCAGUGAAGAGGCCCAAGCGACUGUUUAACUAAAACACAGCUCUCUGCGAAGUCGCAAGACGAAGUAUAGGGGGUGACACCUGCCCGGUGCUGGAAGGUUAAGAGGAUCUGUUAAGAGCGAUCUGAAGCAGUGAUCCGAAGCCCCAGUGAACGGCGGCCGUAACUAUAACGGUCCUAAGGUAGCGAAAUUCCUUGUCAGGUAAGUUCUGACCCGCACGAAAGGUGUAACGAUUUGGGCGCUGUCUCGGCAGCAGACUCGGUGAAAUCUUAGUACCUGUGAAAAUGCAGGUUACCCGCAACUAGACGGAAAGACCCCAUGGAGCUUUACUGCAGCCUGAUAUUGAAUUCUGGUCAUACAUGUACAGGAUAGGUGGGAGACAAAGAGACGUGCACGCCAGUGUACGAGGAGUCGGCGUUGGGAUACCACUCUUGUGUGACCGGGGUUCUAACCUGGUAUCGAGAACAGGUACGGGGAGAGUGUCAGGUGGGCAGUUUGACUGGGGCGGUCGCCUCCCAAAGAGUAACGGAGGCGCCCAAAGGUACGCUCAGAUUGGAUGGAAACCAAUCGUCGAGUGCAAUUGCAGAAGCGUGCUUGACUGUGAGACAGACAAGUCGAACAGGGACGAAAGUCGGGAAUAGUGAUCCGGCGGUGCCGAAUGGAAGGGCCGUCGCUCAACGGAUAAAAGCUACCCUGGGGAUAACAGGCUGAUCUCGCCCAAGAGUUCACAUCGACGGCGAGGUUUGGCACCUCGAUGUCGGCUCAUCGCAUCCUGGAGCUGGAUUCGGUUCCAAGGGUUGGGCUGUCCGCCCAUUAAAGCGGUACGCGAGCUGGGUUCAGAACGUCGUGAGACAGUUCGGUC